AAAUUGUAGUUUUUGUAUUACUACCCCAAGCUUCCAUAAGUGGGUCAAAAAUGACCCGCAUGCAUUUUCUAUGGAAUCCAAUGGGAACCUUUGGUUUUUAUCAACUGUGGCUGUCAGGAAUAAAAUAACUGUGGACCACACAGACUAUAUCAGAAGUUUCACCCCUCAAGAAGAUUAUUUUACACAGCAAGAGCUGCUACGUGUGUCAUGGCUGCUAGAUACACAGCUGAAAUGGUCCUACAGAUGCUGGAUGAUGGAGAGGCAGUUAUGGGGUUGGACUCCGAGUCUGACAUUUCUGAUGAUGAGGACCCAGACUAUUGUCCAGGUGGCAGUGGCAGUCGUCCACCUGGAAAUCCAACUGAACAGGAUCAAUCUGACUCAGAAGAUUCCUCUUCUGUGUCCAACAGAAUGAGUCGGACGGGCUCUUACUGGAGAGAGUUACCUCCCACCCAGGGCAGGUAACUCGCCCUGGGUGGGAGGUAACUUCCACCCAGAAGUCGGUCAGGGUAUCCUCCCACAAUAUCCUCAGAAGUCGGUCAGGGCCUGCACAAGGGGCCUGGCCUGCACAAGGGCUUAGCACCACUUAGCAUGGGAGCUCUUUAUCACUGAUGAUAUAAUACAAGAGGUGAUGAAGAGCACAAACUUGGAAGGACGGGGAGUAGCAACAGGUUGAGGAAAAGAAUGGAAAAAUGUAACCAAAGAUGAAUUCAUGGCCUUCAUUGGAUUGACCCUGCUUGCAGGAAGUGAGAAGAACUGGGAUGUAUCAGUCUGUGACAAUGGAUGUUCACAUUUUUCUAUUGCUGUUUUGGCUAAUUUUCUUUUUCAAAAAUGCUAGAAAGUGAAAAAUAAAGAUAUUUCAAACUUGAAA